UACGAAGGGUGCAAGCGUUAAUCGGAAUUACUGGGCGUAAAGCGUGCGUAGGCGGUUUGUUAAGUCUGUCGUGAAAGCCCCGGGCUCAACCUGGGAAUGGCGAUGGAUACUGGCUCGCUAGAGUGCGGUAGAGGAGAGUGGAAUUCCCGGUGUAGCAGUGAAAUGCGUAGAGAUCGGGAGGAACAUCAGUUGCGAAGGCGGCUCUCUGGACCAGCACUGACACUGAGGCACGAAAGCGUGGGGAGCAAACAGG
rnacentral:rRNA from 1 species